UACGUAGGGGGCUAGCGUUGUCCGGAAUCAUUGGGCGUAAAGAGCGCGUAGGCGGCCCGGUAAGUCCGCUGUAAAAGUCCAGGGCUCAACCCUGGAAAGCCGGUGGAUACUGUCGGGCUCGAGUCCGGAAGAGGCGAGUGGAAUUCCUGGUGUAGCGGUGGAAUGCGCAGAUAUCAGGAGGAACACCAAUGGCGAAGGCAGCUCGCUGGGACGGUACUGACGCUGAGGCGCGAAAGCGUGGGGAGCUAACAGG
rnacentral:rRNA from 1 species